AAAAUAAUAAAAAUGUUUCCAGAAAAACAUCGAUGUCUUCUCCGAUUCUCUCCAUCUCCAGAGCUCCAAAUCUCCAAUCACAUAUCCCAUGGCCGUCUCUAUCAUAUGCUUCGUUGCCUACAUCUCGUUUUUUGCCACGAUCUUCGGAAGCCGCUUCCGUCUCCGUUAGGGUGAACAAAUAUGAUUUUAGGUUGUAUUUCUCUUGUACAUAGGUUGUUGUAGUUGCGAGCGAGAUCUGGUUGUCGUUGUUGCGUGCGAACUGCGAACAAAAUCAGUUUAUGUGAGUUGCUGGUUAUUAGGAAUUGAAUUAAUUGUUGAAUCAAAUCGACUAUAGAAUAAACAUAGAUUUGCUGGGUAUAGAUAUACAAGU
rnacentral:lncRNA from 1 species